rnacentral:lncRNA from 1 species
AAUCUUUUCUAAGUAUGUGAUCACUUCCCAGGAAAGAUACUUUUACGCAGUUCUUAAUUUGAGGGAUAGCCUGGGUUAUUUUUACAACACCUUUUUACUUUCAAUAUGGUUUGGAUUUCUUUUGAAAUUUAAUGAUACUGCAUUUACAACAGUAUGUGCAAACCAACACGGGAGCCUUUAUAUGGUUG